UGCCUUUGACAUCCUCGGAAUCCCGCAUCUCUGCGGGAUUCCGAGGAUGUCAAAGGCAGGUAAGGUUCUUCGCGUUGCAUCGAAUUAAACCACAUGCUCCACCGCUUGUGCGGGCCCCCGUCAAUUCCUUUGAGUUUUAACCUUGCGGCCGUACUCCCCAGGCGGAGAACUUAUCGCGUUAGCUGCGCCACUAAGGGUUUCAAAUACCCCCAACGGCUAGUUCUCAUCGUUUAGGGCGUGGACUAC
rnacentral:misc_RNA from 1 species